GACGUAGGGCGCGAGCGUUGUCCGGAUUUAUUGGGCGUAAAGAGCUCGUAGGCGGCUUGUCGCGUCGACUGUGAAAGCCCCCCGGCUCAACUGGGGAGGGUCAUUCGAUACUGUUCGACUCGAAGGCAGGAGAGGGAAGUGGAAUUCCCGGUGUGGUGGUGAAAUGCGUAGAUAUCGGGAGGAACACCAGUGGCGAAGGCGAGUCCCUGGACAACACCUGACACUGAGGCACGAAAGCUAGGGGAGCAAACAGG
rnacentral:rRNA from 1 species